rnacentral:rRNA from 1 species
UACGGAGGGGACUAGCGUUGUUCGGAAUUACUGGGCGUAAAGCGCACGUAGGCGGAUUUGUAAGUCAGGGGUGAAAUCCCGGGGCUCAACCUCGGAACUGCCUUUGAUACUGCAAAUCUCGAGUCCGGAAGAGGUGAGUGGAAUUCCUGGUGUAGAGGUGAAAUUCGUAGAUACUAGGAAGAACACCAGUGGCGAAGGCGGCUCACUGGUCCGGUACUGACGCUGAGGUGCGAAAGCGUGGGGAGCAAACAGG